GGAGCAUGAAGACCCGCUUUCAGUUUCCCCUUCCUGCCGCUCCCAGCCUCUGCCCAGCCCAGGGCGAGUCCUUUGUAGCUGCUGGGAGCAGGGCAGAGAGCACAACGGGAGCCUGGGGCAGGGAACAACCCCUCCAACCUUCCGUGGAGCAGAAGUAGGGGUGAGGAGGGCAGAAGCGCCUGAGAGUUUCAAAGGGCGGAGAUGCAGCAAGUUAUCCCACGGGCCGGAGACCAUGGGGCCCCUGGGCCACAGCUCCGAUGGCUUCAGCCAAGUCCACUGACUUACAGCGGGGUCCUUGUAUCGCUAGGACAUUCCACACCCACUUUCUCCCCGAGAGCCAGCAACCACACUUCCCUGGGAUUUUUAUUCCUGAGCGAAGACUAGCUGAAUGCAAUGGCUCCAGUGGAAAAUGCCAAAGCCUCGGGGAAUGGGAUCCCAGAGUCAGCCUAAAGCUGGGCGCCCAGGAGAUCCACCUGGCCAGGAAUGUCCGCAUUCCCUUGUGUUCAAAAAAUUAACAUUGACUAAACCACACAGAUUUCAGGGUUGUAACAAUUAGCCUCUUGACUAAUACAGAUCACAUAUUCUGCUGGGGGCCCCCAGGGUUCCUCGGUUGGCCAGUUCUCUUGUUACCAUCCCACAGAUCACCCCCAUACAUGAACUGGCACAGAAACUGCAGCUGAAAUUACCAUGAUCAUUAUUAACCUAAAAAUCCUGAAAAAUUAAGUAAGUGACAGAGAAGUUUUCUGGUAUGGGUUUUCAGACAAAAGAGGAACAGUCCCUCUGCUCCCCAGCGAAGUAUUCUCAUCUCAAGUGUUGGUCGGAUGAUUCACUCAUUCAUUCUCAAAAAUACAUCUUGAGUGUCUGCUCUGUACACUAAAAGGACUUGGGAAACGCAGUGAAGUUGUGAUCAAGACAGAGAUAAUCCCCUUGCCUCACAGCGGAUCCACAUUACAAACAGGGACGCAGACAAUGAACAAAUAAUAUGUAAUAAGUGCUCGGAAGGAUGAAACAGGUAAGGGGCAGAGACCGAUGGGGCAGUUUUAGAGUUCUGAGCAAAGAUCUGAAUAUCAGGGACUCCUCGAUGGGCAGUGGGCACUGCCAGUGCAUUCUUUUUUUUUUUUUUUUUUUUUUGCAAGUUUAAGGUGUACAGUGUGCUGGUUUGAUACAUUUAUAUAUUGCAAAAUGAUUACCCCCCCCCCCCGAAAGCAAACACUACCUUGAAACACUGGUGAAUCAGGGGUUGGGGGAGGCAAGCAGGUGGACGGUAACACUUCACCUGCCCAGGGGUUUCAAGAGGUUAGGGGCCGGAGGAAAAGCAGACACCUCACGGUUGCUGGGGACUGACACAUCCCAGGGAACAUCCCAGAACAGCUCUGAGGAGCCCAUGGCCUUCAAAGGGAGCAUCAGGUUUUUAGACGGCAAUUCGGCCAGUAACUACUGAGUGCCUGCUCGGUGCGGUGCACCUCGAGGUACAGACUUACACUGCUGCCGACCUAAGCAGGCUGCUUAUCCAGCCACGGAAGCCUCGUUGAUGAGAGCUAUUCCUGAGGUCACCGUACGCCCUGGUUUGCCUGAACAGUUGUGCAUUACAACUGCCAUCCCAGCAAAAUUAUUUAUAGGGUGCCGUUUCACUUUCAAAAGUGUCUCGGUCUAGAUAGUAAGUCACACGAUCACCCAGGGGAUCCUUACCUACAGUAGACUGACGGGUAAACUCCAAGUCCCGGGAUGGGACCCUUAGCCUUUUGUUCAAGAAAUAUUUCCUGAGUGCUUUCUACAUGGCUGGUGUGUUGGGUAGAGGGCAUGUGAAGGAUGAAGAAGACUGGCCGGCCCUGGUAUUCCGCACUGUAACCCAGUGAAACAGACACAGAAACCAAUACCAUCAGGUGUGGCUAGGAGUGGCUAGGAGCGGGCAUGGGGUACUACAGGUGAUGUGAGCCGAGGCCUGGCCUCCCUGUACGGUCCUCGUGCUCACCGUCCACCUGGAACAGAAGCUGUCCUUCUUUACAGAACUCAGUGGGACCCCGCACAUAUAACCUGAUACUUCUCACCCUUACAAUCUCUCUAGCCCCCCUCCCCCUCCAACCUGCCCGACCUCUAAAUGCUCAAGUGCCCCAGAGCACACUGCGACCUGUACACACAGACCCCAUCCCAGCAGAUCCACCACAAGCCCCAGACCUUUCUCCUCAGUUCCAGCGGAGAAUAUCCACGCAGCUAUCAGCAUUCCGGACAUCUGGAUGUGAGAUAAACAUCUCCAUCCUCACCUAUCCAAAGGACUUCCUGGUCUCCUCCAUUUCCAAGCCAGAAACACCCUUUCCUCUCCUCGGCGGCACUCAAAUGCUUUCUUUCCUGUUUAAGUAAACGGCAACCCCAUCCCUCCAGCCAGGCGGACAGACAUUUCUGAAAUCAUCUGGGACUCCUCCUUUUCUCUUGUAUCUUACAUCCAUCCAAUCCCUCCGCAAAUUCUUUUGGCUGUACUUUCAAUAUACACAGAACCUGUCUUCUUAUCACCACCUGUCCUACUACCUGUUGGUCCAAGCAGGUCCUGCAGGUCCAGGCUUCUGUAUGGCUUACUGUAGAAGCCUCUGACAUGGUCUCUCUGCCCUUCCCCUGCCCCCACCAGGGUUAUUGUCCGUGCAGCACCCAAUAGUUCCCUUUUAUAUGACAAGUCAGACCUGCCAGCAGCUGUGUGAUCUGGCCUGGGAUUACCUCUUAACCUCUUUCUUCCCACCCUUCUCCCAUGUCCCUGCUGUUCUCUGAACAAGUUCUUGCCUCUUACCUCCCUAGCCUCUUUCAGAUGUUUAUUCUAAACACACACCAGCGAGGCCCUCUCCCUGAUAACUCUCUCUCCAUACUCCCUGUUCCCUUUUCCCGCCUCUGGUUCCCUAUGGUCUGAUUUCCAUUUAAUAGAGUUGCUGGAUAAAAUAUGAAAUGCCCAGUUAAAAUUGAAUUUCAGGUACACAAGGAAUACUUUUAGCAUAAGUAUGUUCCAAAUAUUGCAUGGGAUAUACUUAUACCAAAAAAAAAAAAAAUUUCAUUGUUCAUCUGAAAUUCAAAUUUAACUAGGCAUCCUGUGUUUUUAUUUGCUAAAUCUGGCAACGCUGCCAUCUAACAUGCUAUAUAUUUCAUUUAUCUGUUCAUUGUCUCUCUCUCUCUCUCUCCUAUCCCCUUUCCUCCAAACUUGGUUCUUAGAACAUAAGUUCAAUGGAAGCAAGUAUUUUCCAACUACUUUGUUCAUGGCUGGGUCCCCAGCAGCUAAAGCAGUAACUACUACGUAACAGAUGCUCAAUGUUCACUGAAUGAAUGAAUGAUAGGCUCUGGCAUCACAGACGUCACGGACUGGAGGGCAGAGAAGUCCCUUCUCCACCCAACCCCACUGUGAAAUUUCUUCGGAACAACAUAAGCUUCUGGAAAUUCCCUACGGAAAAGACAAGUCUAUCACAAACACAAUUAAAGGAAAACUGCCUGGAGAAAAUCUACCCAAAUCGUCUAACAACUCCCAACUUCUGAAUUAAAGCAUGUAAAGAUUCCGCACAGCCCCAUCUAUCAUCCGGAUGGACCCGUGCUCCCCUGCUGUUCCGAUCUGCAAAAUAAAACAUCCCUAAACUCUGUAAGUUAACUCUCAAAUUCUGCAAAACGUGCAACCCAGCAUGCCUUUGCCUCCUGGGAUUUCCCCAAUCAAUGAAUGGAAACGCUGCCUUCCCCUACGAGAUAGCUGCCCAGAAACAGCUCCUUUCUCCCACGGCUGGGAGCAGCGAGUAUGAAAAAGCUGCUUUUAGCGAUUUAUUUUGUCACCGCCUAGAGAUACAACACAUACUGCCUGCUCCCUGGGCUCCCAACGCGGCAUCCCCACGCCACUUCUCCGGCUGUUUAAGGAAAGCCUGCCAGAGCCGAAGUCGGACCCAAGAAAUCACAGCGCUCCACGCACUUUCCAAAACGCACGCCAGCCCGAGAAGCGCGCGUCCCCCGCGCCAUGCGCCGCGUCUCGGGUUCUAAAAAGCAGCCCGCCGCGAGGAGCGCGCGGAACCGUAACUCCAUCUUUGAAGGAGUCUGUUACUUACCCUGCUU